CCUACGGGAGGCAGCAGUGAGGAAUAUUGGUCAAUGGACGCAAGUCUGAACCAGCCAUGCCGCGUGCAGGAAGACGGCUCUAUGAGUUGUAAACUGCUUUUGUACGAGGGUAAACGCAGAUACGCGUAUCUGUCUGAAAGUAUCGUACGAAUAAGGAUCGGCUAACUCCGCGCCAGCAGCCGCGGUAAUACGGAGGAUUCAAGCGUUAUCCGGAUUUAUUGGGUUUAAAGGUUGCGUAGGCGGUCGGAUAAGUUAGAGGUGAAAUCCCGGGGCUCAACUUCGGAAUUGCCUCUGAUACUGUCCGGCUAGAGAGUAGUUGCGGUAGGCGGAAUGUAUGGUGUAGCGGUGAAAUGCUUAGAGAUCAUACAGAACACCGAUUGCGAAGGCAGCUUACCAAGCUACUUCUGACGUUGAGGCACGAAAGCGUGGGGAGCAAACAGGAUUAGAUACCCGUGUAGUC
rnacentral:rRNA from 1 species